CCUACGGGAGGCAGCAGUGGGGAAUUUUGCGCAAUGGGGGCAACCCUGACGCAGCAACGCCGCGUGAGUGAUGAAGGCCUUCGGGUCGUAAAGCUCUGUCAGAGGGGAAGAAAUGCAGGUGGUGAACAACCAUUCUGUUUGACGGUACCCUCAAAGGAAGCACCGGCUAACUCCGUGCCAGCAGCCGCGGUAAUACGGAGGGUGCGAGCGUUGUUCGGAAUUAUUGGGCGUAAAGCGCGUGUAGGCGGUUUGUUAAGUCGGAGGUGAAAGCCCCGGGCACAACCUGGAAAGUGCAUUGGAUACUGGCAGACUUGAGUACGGGAGAGGAGAGUGAAAUUCCCAGUGUAGGAGUGAAAUCCGUAGAUAUUGGGAGGAACCCCGGAGGCGAGGGCGGUCUCCGGGCCCGUUACUGACGCUCAGGCACGAAAGCGGGGGGAGCAAACAGGAUUAGAUCCCCGAGUAGU
rnacentral:rRNA from 1 species